GGCAUGUCCAGAUGCCAUCAUCACACAGUGAUAUUCCAUGUACCCCCCCCCCUCCCCAGCCUUGUCCUUUUUUACUGAAACCACUUGUGGGAUCAUCUGAAACAGAUUUAUGUUGGAAAAGGAUGAUACAGUUACUUAAUUUCUAAAGUGCUAAAAAUUCCACAAGGACUACUUUGGGUAACGCUACUGAGGAGUACACAUCACAUCCAGAAGCCCCACUGAAGGAAGAGUUGCUAUCACAGAUGUGCCACCCUGAUGCUGCCUCUGGUACUGUUGUUGCCCUGCAGUUCUCAUGGAAGAGCAAAUCAGCGGCACAGUGGCUGUCAUCACAUUGCAGCCUCUCACCAUGCCCACAAAUAGUUCUCUUCUGUGAAGGGUGAGAAAUCCUCAUCUGAAUUUGGAAUAAACAUCAAGGCAUUUCAUCAA